rnacentral:rRNA from 1 species
CCUACGGGAGGCAGCAGUGGGGAAUAUUGCACAAUGGGGGAAACCCUGAUGCAGCGACGCCGCGUGAGUGAAGAAGUAUCUCGGUACGUAAAGCUCUAUCAGCAGGGAAGAAAAUGACGGUACCUGACUAAGAAGCCCCGGCUAACUACGUGCCAGCAGCCGCGGUAAUACGUAGGGCGCAAGCGUUAUCCGGAUUUACUGGUUGUAAAGUGAGCGUAGACGGCGCUGCAAGUCCGGAGUGAAAGCCCCUGGCUUAACCAUGGUACUGCUCGGGAGACUGGAGAGCUUGAGUGCGGGAGGGGCAGGUGGAAUUCCUAGUGUAGCGGUGAAAUGCGUAGAUAUUAGGAGGAAUACCGGCGGCGAAGGCGGCCUGCUGGACCGUAACUGACGUUGAGGCGCGAAAGCGUGGGGAGCAAACAGGAUUAGAUACCCUUGUAGUC